rnacentral:rRNA from 1 species
GACGAACGCUGGCGGCGUGCUUAACACAUGCAAGUCGAACGAAGAGCGAUGGAAGCUUGCUUCUAUCAAUCUUAGUGGCGAACGGGUGAGUAACACGUAAUCAACCUGCCCUUCAGAGGGGGACAACAGUUGGAAACGACUGCUAAUACCGCAUACGAUCUAAUCUCGGCAUCGAGGAUAGAUGAAAGGUGGCCUCUACAUGUAAGCUAUCACUGAAGGAGGGGAUUGCGUCUGAUUAGCUAGUUGGAGGGGUAACGGCCCACCAAGGCGAUGAUCAGUAGCCGGUCUGAGAGGAUGAACGGCCACAUUGGGACUGAGACACGGCCCAGACUCCUACGGGAGGCAGCAGUGGGGAAUCUUCCGCAAUAGACGAAAGUCUGACGGAGCAACGCCGCGUGAGUGAUGACGGCCUUCGGGUUGUAAAGCUCUGUUAAUCGGGACGAAAGGCCUUCUUGCGAAUAGUGAGAAGGAUUGACGGUACCGGAAGAGAAAGCCACGGCUAACUACGUG